AACGAACGCUGGCGGCAUGCCUAACACAUGCAAGUCGAACGAGACCUUCGGGUCUAGUGGCGCACGGGUGCGUAACGCGUGGGAACCUGCCCUUAGGUUCGGAAUAACUCCCCGAAAGGGGUGCUAAUACCGGAUAAUGUCUUCGGACCAAAGAUUUAUCGCCUUUGGAUGGGCCCGCGUUGGAUUAGCUAGUUGGUAGGGUAAAAGCCUACCAAGGCGACGAUCCAUAGCUGGUCUGAGAGGAUGAUCAGCCACACUGGGACUGAGACACGGCCCAGACCCCUACGGGAGGCAGCAGGGGGGAAUUUUGGACAAGGGGCGAAAGCCUGAUCCAGCAAGGCCGGGUGGGUGAUGAAGGCCUUAGGGUUGUAAAGCUCUUUUACCCGGGAUGAUAAUGACAGUACCGGGAAAAUAAGCCCCGGCUAACUCCGU
rnacentral:rRNA from 1 species